rnacentral:rRNA from 1 species
UAGAUACCCUGGUAGUCCACGCCCUAAACGAUGUCAACUGGUUGUUGGGUCUUCACUGACUCAGUAACGAAGCUAACGCGUGAAGUUGACCGCCUGGGGAGUACGGCCGCAAGGUUGAAAUUCAAAGGAAUUGACGGGGACCCGCACAAGCGGUGGAUGAUGUGGUUUAAUUCGAUGCAACGCGAAAAACCUUACCCACCUUUGACAUGUACGGAAUCCUUUAGAGAUAGAGGAGUGCUCGAAAGAGAGC